UCAAAUUGACAAUAGGUUAUUAUUGUUAACUUUUAAUUUAAUAUAAAUUAUUUAUUUAUCUAUAGUGUAGUCUUGGCGAAAUCCGUGAUUUUAGAAGUAUAAUAAUCUUCGACAACAGAAACAUAAUAAUGUUCAAACUUAUAAUAGCAAUUAAUUAAAGUCGAAUUUCGACUACUGCGGGACCACUAGUGUUUCAUAAAUGAAUCAUCAAGCAUUUUGAUGAUGUCUAUUCUAUAUUAGAUCUUAUAUCUGGACCCAACCUUCGAUCCGUGCUAUGGGAUUACUUCACAGAAUCAAUAGACGCGAAGGAGUCACCCAAGCAGACUUCAAGACGUUCUGUUAGCUUGGAAAUAUAUAAACGCGUCAAGGACUCAUGAUAAUACAACAAUUUCGCUCUAAUAUCCUGAUCCAGCAUCAACAAGAAGAUCAACAAAAGAUGACAUUAAUUUUUAUUUCGAAUCUAAGAAUAAGAAGGCAAUGGAAACGCAACAUUUGGAACAAGUUUAACUCUCCCGAGGGGCGAGACAACAUCUGAAAUCACUGCGAAUAGCCGAAUUACCACGUUUAUGGCCCCGGACAUUUCCCGAGCGAAGAAUGUUCGAAAUGCGAAAUCAUUGCAGCGAAUAUGUGCGACAAUUUACGUAAUUUCAAAAUGUUAUUAUCGAAAAAAAAAAAAAAAGCUUGUUCCCUAACAAGGAAUCUACACUUGUAACGAGAAUUCGUGUAAAGUACGACUCAAGAGGCAAUUUGCGAAAGAGGAAACAAUAAAAAAGGCAAUUCGCAAAAUUCGAAUACAUUAAAUACAAUUAUAAGUGACAAUUAUGUUUGAGCACCAUUAAAAUAAGGUCGGUAUAAGUGCAGACUCAUGAAAAUUCGCUUCGAAGUGAUAAUGGCUAUGGCGGAAAAAAAAAAAGUAAAACUGUUUGUGCAUAUCGUUUAUAAAUUCUGUGGUAUUACGUUCUUCAAUUGCUGGCCUCAGAGGUAGACAGAGGGACGCUACUAAUUCAUUAUUAGAUUCGUGACCUUGGACCGUUAUUAUAACGGUAAUUAUUAAAAUUUGUAUUUCCAACUUAGUAUUGGAAGAAGCUCUUACGGCUGACUUGAUGUUGAGCGGUGACUUGGGCCUAUAGGCAUCAUAACCAGAAUCCCACAGCUCACAUUGAGACAUAAAUAUUAAGUUUCAAUUACUUUCGUACAAGUGCCCUGCCCUAACAUUCAAAUUGGAGCAAGUUGUCUUCGUUUUAGUAGAAUAUGAACUUACCACUUUUAAUAACGAUGAACAAAACUACGAAGCAUUUAUGAAUCGCUAUGAAAAUAGUUUUUGGUUUGUUUAAAUUAGUAUGGUUACGGAUGUGAUUCCAUUAAGCCCUUUAUUUCUCGAGUAUACUCCAGCAGUUAUUUUGUCAAUAUCACAACACAGUUUAGGCAUGGGUUUAUAGAUCAUAUCAUAUUUUUGAACGGAUAUUACAUUAAUUCAGUAAUUUCUAUUAAAGAAUCUAUUAUUUUUCUUCGUUAGAAUUCAAAAAGGAGAAAAAGCGACUUCAGGUCGAAAACAGUCCUGUAACCCUUUGAUUAUUUCUAGUAAAAUAUUGGCUACAUUACUCGUGAUCAAAUGUUUCUAUCAAAUUUCAAUAAAGCGAUAAGGCGUUAUCUUAACAGAA